AUGACAGAGAGGUGUGGCAGUAAGAGGAGAUGACAGAGAGGUGUGGCAGUAAGAGGAGAUGACAGAGAGGUGUGGCAGUAAGAGGAGAUGACAGAGAGGUGUGGCAGUAAGAGGAGAUGACAGAGAGGUGUGGCAGUAAGAGGAGAUGACAGAGAGGUGUGGCAGUAAGAGGAGAUGACAGAGAGGUGUGACAGUAAGAGGAGAUGACAGAGAGGUGUGGCAGUAAGAGGAGAUGACAGAGAGGUGUGGCAGUAAGAGGAGAUGACAGAGAGGUGUGGCAGUAAGAGGAGAUGACAGAGAGGUGUGACAGUAAGAGGAGAUGACAGAGAGGUGUGGCAGUAAGAGGAGAUGACAGAGAGGUGUGGCAGUAAGAGGUGAUGACAGAGAGGUGUGGCAGUAAGAGGAGAUGACAGAGAGGUGUGGCAGUAAGAGGAGAUGACAGAGAGGUGUGGCAGUAAGAGAAGAUGAAAGAGAGGUGUGGCAGUAAGAAAGAUGUGAA